AAGGUGUGUCUGCCUAGGCCUCUAUGAGCAUGUUAUCCGCUUGUCUUUGAGUUUCUGUUCUUUUUACGCCGGCUUUUCAAUGCAGGAUUUCAUUGACCUGCUUUUGAAAAAUUCCCUCAGUGCUGUGUUACUAGCUCUUCUGGGCCCCAGGUGAGAAGCUUAAACAAGUAAUGUCUUUCUUGGUCUUGCCACAGCUUCUGGAAAACAUGACAGAAGUGGUUCGGAAAGGCAUUCAGGAAGCUCAAGUGGAGCUGCAGAAGGCAAGUGAAGAACGGCUUCUGGAAGAGGUGAGGCCCCCGAUGGGCAGCAGGCUGGGGGAGCCGCCGUGAGGCCAGGUGGCCCUGAACUCUGGUCCUGUCUUGCAGGGGGUGUUGCGGCAGAUCCCUGUAGUGGGCUCCGUGCUGAAUUGGUUUUCUCCGGUCCAGGCUUUACAGAAGGGAAGAACUUUUAACUUGACAGCAGGCUCUCUGGAGUCCACAGAACCCAUAUAUGUCUACAAAGCACAAGGUGCAGGAGUCACGCUGCCUCCAACGCCCUCGGGCAGUCGCACCAAGCAGAGGCUUCCAGGCCAGAAGCCUUUUAAAAGGUCCCUGCGAGGUUCAGAUGCUUUGAGUGAGACCAGCUCAGUCAGUCACAUUG
rnacentral:sRNA from 1 species